UAAGUAGAACAAAUGAUCGCGGCUGCACAGACGAAAGGGUGUAGACGAGGAAAGUCCGGGCUCCACAGGGCAGGAUGCCGGAUAACAUCCGGUGGAGGCGACUCCAAGGCCAGUGCAACAGAAAAGAAACUGCUCAGCAAUAUGCUGAGUGAGGGUGGAAUGGCAGUGUAAGAGACUACCGCCGUCACGGUAACGGGACGGGCUGUGUAAACCCCAUCCGGAGCAAGACCAAACAGAGAGCAAUGACCGGCCCGGUCCGCUUUCAGGUAGGUCGCUGGAGGGUCCCGGCAACGGGACUCCUAGAUAGAUGAUCAUUCACGACAUAACCCGGCUUAUCGUUCUGCUUACAAA
rnacentral:RNase_P_RNA from 1 species